rnacentral:lncRNA from 1 species
UGAAAAAAUAUUAGUAAAAUACUAAUAUGUUAUAUACUGUCAGUUGGUUCAUCAUAUAUUAGAAGAUUGAUGGUACCCAGUGGUUUGGUUUAUAUGUGAGAUGUCCACCAUCGGCUCAUAUGUUUGAACAAUCAGGCCCUGGCUGGUGAUGCUACAUAGAAAUGUAGGAACAUCAGAAUGAGUAGCACUGAAAAAGUUGGUUACCAUAGAGGGAACUUGGAGGCUUUACAGCCUGGGCUCACUACCUGUCCACCCUCUGCUUCUGACUAUGACUGCCGUGUAAUCAGCUGCCCAUCCUCUUGCUGUCAUGCUUUCCUUUCCAUGACAGACUGUGUCCCCUCAGACUGUAAGCCAAAAUAAAUGUUUCUGAACUUAAAUUGCUUCCUGUUAAGUAUUUUUGUCAUAGCAACAAGAAAUAUAUUCAAUACAGGUACCAAGGAAUGAGGCUGAUGCUAUGAUCAAUCCAUUUGUGCCCUUUUUUGUUGUUGUUUGUUUGUUUUUGUUUUUGGAGAGACAGGAUUUCUCUGUGGCUUUGGAGGCUGUGCUGGAACUCAUUCUAGGCUGGCCUUAAAUUCACAGAGAUCCGCCUGCCUUUGCCUCCUGAGUUCUGGGAUUAAAGGUAUGUACCACUAACGCCUGGCCGUUUGGGCUUUUGAACAGUAUUGGGACUGUGAAAGACUAUGUGGACUUAAAUGUUUGGAUUAGAUGCGUGUUGUAUUAUGAGAUGACCGGGGCUCUGCAGUGGCCAGGGCCAGAAUGUUGUGUUUUGGAAGUGAAAUGUCUUCCACAGGCUUAUGUGGGGAUGUUUUAACCUUUAUGAUAUGGGACCUUGCUGGAGGAAGUGAUUCACUGGAGGUGGGCCUUGAGGUUACAUAGCUUAUCUCUACUUCCUGUCCACUGUCUGCUUCUUGACUGCAGAGACAGUAUCAUUAGACUGAAAUGCCUCCCAUUUCAGUCACCAUGACAGCUUGCAUCACCAACAAAAUAAAACCUUCCUCUCUUAGGUUGUUUUGUUUUGGCAGAGGAGUAUUCUAAUGUCCCGUUUGUACUGCUCGGCUUUCUACUGCUGUAAUGAAUACCUGAGCCCACCAGCCUGUGGAGAGGAAAGGGGUAUCUUGGCUCACAGUUUUGAAGGUUUUGCUCCAUGAUUAUUUUGUUCUGUUGCUUUGGGCCAGUGGUGAGGCAGCUUAUCAUGAUAAGAGUGUGACUGAGCUUCAUGACUCCAAAACAAGGGUGGGGCUCAUGCUCAAUGACUUCCAGGGACCUUUCACUAAACCUCAUUUUCUAAUGGUUACACUCUCUCUCAUUAGUGUUACUCUGGGAACUCAGACUAUAAGUGCUAGAUCCUUGAAAGAUAUUCAAGAUCCAAACAAUAAUGUUCUGCCUCUGCAGAAAGGCAGAGGCAGAGAGGCAGAGGCAGAGAGGCAGAGAGGCAGAGGCAGAGAGGCAGAGGCAGAGAGGCAGAGGCAGAGAGGCAGAGGCAGAGAGGCAGAGAGGCAGAGGCAGAGAGGCAGAGGCAGACAAAUCUCUGAGUUUGAGGCCAGCCUAGUCUACAGAACGAAUUCCAGGACAGCCAGAGCAACACAGAGAAACUCUGUCUUGAAAAACAACAACAAAAUGGUGAUAUUGUGAGAUUUGUUAGAUUAGGACUAGCCUGUCUAAACUGUCCCAUAUGGAAAGUUGACAGUUGAUCUGUCUUAACUGCUGAAUUCAGAGGCUCAGGUGAACAUUUAUGUAGUGUGACCCCAGCUAAAGAAUUAUGUAUUUUAUUAGGAAAUCAUGGGAUACUACAUACCUUUAACUAUUGAUAAUGGUGCAAUUAUGAAAAAUUCUACUUUCUAAGUUACAUGUUUGAAUUUUUGUAGUGAUACAAGUAGAAAAUCA